UAAAGAACCUGGAAUUUGAUGUCCUAGGGCAGGAGAAGAAAAGGGGUACUGCUCUGGAAAAGAGAGAGAAAGAGAGAAAAAAAAGGAAGCAAGAAAAAGAAAAAAAGAAAAGCAAGCAAGCUGAAUGUCUUCCUUCUUCCACCUCCUUUGUUGUAAGUAUUCCUGCAGCCCAUUAGAUGGUACCCACCCACAUUGAGGGCAGGUCUUCCUCUCUCAGUCCACCGACUAUCCUGUCAAUCUCCUCUGGCAACACCUUCACAGAUACACUCAGAAUUAAUGCUUCGCUGCCACUGAGCCAUCCCUCAAUCCAGUCAAGUUGACACCUAAUACUAACCAUCAUACCUGGAAAGUACAGUUUUUAUAUAGGAGGCCAUGUGUCAGCUAAAAGUCAGAUUCUAUUACUGAUAAAGAAGAAUCUAUUGAGUGUCAAGCGCUACUCAUUGCCACAAGAGGUGCCUGCUGUACUGCCACUGCCCAAUAUAUAAUAUUUCAGGAAACAUUGCUUUAUGAAGGGCUCCAUAACAGUUAAUGAAGGUAAGUCUGUAUGGCAUGUUAUUGUAAUGAAUUUUCUGGUGAAAAUUAAUUAGAUGUGUGAAUGUGUGAAUGCUAA
rnacentral:lncRNA from 1 species